GCCGAAGUAGCUCAAUUGGUAGAGCAGCGGUAUCGUAAACCGCAGGUAGUGGGUUCGAAACCCACCUUCGGCU
rnacentral:tRNA from 1 species